UGCUCUGUGUGCCUCAGGGAGCAAUACAUGAUCCUUCAGAGCAGGACCAUAAUGGAAUGACAAGGAGCAUACUUUAGUGAUGGAGCAAAUCACAAAACCUGUCUCUGCCUGAUCAUCCAUGUUGAAAAUAAAAUGUCAAACCGGUUGGAGAGAAUAGCAGCAACAAUCAUGUCCUAUCAGUUGAGACCAUUAUGGUCUCCAUUAGACAGAUGAGGAAACUGAAGGCCAAAGAGGACAAGUCUACAGAACUGACUCAUCUCAUAACUGGAGGUUUAUACCCUUGGACCAGCAUCCCCCUAUUUCCUCUACUCCUUGACCACUGGAAAAUGCCCCAGACCUGAGAUGUGGCUGGAGGAGGAAGACCAGGGCUUCCUGAACAAAGGCUUCAUAUGGAAAGAACCACAGAUCUUGGCAAACUCCACACUCUGUAGACUACUAUCCAGAUCCUAUGGAUUAGAU